UUUAGGAACAAAUGUCGGGGUUUCUGGGUGCUCUGAGGUGAUUUAGACACAAACUUUGGGGUUUCUGGGUGCUCUGAGGUGAUUUAGGGACAGAUUUUUUGGGUUUCUGGGUGUUCUGAGAUGAUUUAGGGACCGAUUUGGGGGUUUCUGGGUGUUCUGAGGUGAUUUAGGAACAGAUUUUGAGGUUUCUGCGGUCCCCGGUG